ensembl:ncRNA ZK262.17 ncRNA
UUUGCCCCCACGCAGGAUUGAACUACGGACCUUUGGUUUACAAGACCAACGCUCUACCACUGAGCUAUAAGGGCAC